UAUAUAUAUAUAUAUAUAUAUAUAUAUAUAAUUGCUUUCAUAAGAAGUUUUAAAAAAAUAUCUUUUUAUUUGAAAAGUACUUCAUACUAGUAUAACUAAACAUGUUAUUACCCAACGAAUAAAUAAUUUUUUAGAUAUUUUUUUCCCAGUAUAUAUAUAGAAUUUCUUUUCGAUAAAGUUUCAUAAUAUUUAGUUUUAGUUUCAUAAUAUUUUUGUAAAGAGGACCAAUCCUUCUUUUGAGUAUAUGAUACUUUUAGGAUGAACAUAUUUUAAGACUACUAUCAAGAGAAAAUAUUCUUCGUUGGUAUGCAAAAGUUGCCCGAUCGUAAGAGGCGACGAUGAUGAGGCUACCGAUGCAUCGAGGAACGGAUCGAGGAAAAUCAUCGCAGCAGUUUCGCGACGAAAGCAGUUGUCGGAAGGUGUUGGAUAAGAGGCAUCACCGCGGGUGGUGUGACCCAAAGUGGCUUAGGCGCUUACAAGCAACGAAUUCGAAGCCCUUCAAGAACGUCGCGUUACUUACGGCUGUUGGCUUAUUUACUGUGACACCCAUUGCGAAGGAAAGAACGGACGGCGAGUUGCGGCACAAAUCUCGCUUUUCGCGAGGGACACCAAUCGCAAAAACAGGUUUCAACGAGUCGAUUGUCGAAUUUGCUUCCGACACGUUGCGCACAAAUCUCGCGGACAAAUCAGCAGAUCUGUUUAUACGUCAAGGCGCGCGGGCGAACUCAACUGCGAAUUUGAGAACACGGCGCGAUGACGCAACGAAGAGGUGACCACGCAAAGGUGAAGGAUACGAGAAGAAUGGUCACCGUCGCGCGUCAGCAACCGCGGCUCUUUUUCUCGCGGCAGUGGCGCGUUCAUCGAUCUACUCUAUUAUUGUCGAUUCGUGAAAAUAUGCGCCCGCCAUCCGAGAGCACGUCUCUCCGUCGGAGAGAAUGAGAGUCGCCCCCUCACCCCCCGAGAUAUUCCCUGUCGCGUCGCAAGGAUGCCCGUUAACUUCCUCGGUGAAGAGCAGUCGCGGUCGCGAGUUGGCACAUACACGCGUUGGCGCUUCAUAAACACGUACAAUACAUAAAUUGCGACCUCCCUACGUUCCUUCGCGCACAUUACAUUAUAUAUGUACACACACACAUACAUGCGCGCGUAUGCUCAAGCUAAAUAAGCGUGUGCACACUUGCGCGUACGCCGCGUUACGCAUAUAAAACUCUUAUCGAUUGUACGAUACGGCGGUUCGCUUUCACGGUUUGUAACCCGUCGCGGUCGAUCGUCCGUCCGCCGUUGCGUAGUCGACUUGUGCGCGUUUAUUCGCGUCGGAAUCAGGAAAAGGCGGCGGACGCACUCUCCAUUCCGGUGCGUAAUACGCGUACAAACGACGCGUUGUGAUGUGCGAUCAUCAACGCGAGGCAAUUCUCAACUGCAAGCCCAAGUGUCUUAUUUCGACUGAAUCUCUUUCUACGCUCUAUCUCUUGCCAUUUUAAGUCGCAUUUGGAGUGUUUAAACGUAUUAAAUUAUAAUUUAAUGUCUCUCAAACGUGUUAAAUGACAUGAUUUAAAUUCGCGAGGAACAUGGAAGGAAACGAGCUUCAGCCAAAUUAUACGUUUAUGGGUCUAAGAAUAACACACAUGGAUUUACAUAGUUACCGCGCGAAUCGAUUCAUUUCUCCAUUUUCUUGACUGCAAAAACGCGCUGUUUGCUUCUUUUCUUCCUUCGCGCAAUCCAGCACGAUGAAACACACAAAUUCGCAAUGGGGCAAUCGACUCCUCCUUCGAGGAGUGUGGGUGAAGGGGAUCCACUGAGAUUCAUCGUAAAAGCUGAGUCAUUGAUUAGGUUUGGAAUUUCGCUGGGAAACGAAAUCGCAUUAGUUAGCGACGAUCAAAUCGUCGGAAUCGCGAUCCUCAGCAUCUUAUCUUAUCGAUGUUGUUUGCACAACGAAAAAUAUUUGUAUUUUGAAUACUGAAGGAACGUAGCUCAAUGGCGCGGUUGAGAGUUAUUCUGGUUACAUAACACUCAGAGCGAAUGUGAUUUAAAGUUAUCAUAAUACGUGGUCGUAGUAUCUAUAAUAGAUACCCUAAUCGCAGUCAUCACUUCGCAAGCAAUCCCGAGUGGAAAUUUUAGCCCAACUUUCGACCUGAACUUUCUAAUGCUAUAUAUUCUGAAGAAUCGGUGUAUGUUUAAUACACAUAGAGAAACUAAAAUCCAGUUAACGCAUCUGAUUGGCAGAAAACGCCCAAAGUGUCACCUGCAGUCGACCUAUUAACAAAGUUAGUAGGUUAAGUAGAAUCAAAAGAGAUCGAUGUAGGCUUCGGGGUAUAUCGAAGUAGGUGUUAAGUUGAAACGUUGGGGCCGAAAGUAAAAUGAAAAUUUCGACGUGGGUCCACGUUCAUUUAUCGCCUAUGGAUUCUCUGCAAACUUAUUCUAAUCGCGGAACGUCAUUAAGUGAUUUCGCUUCUUCGCGGAAGCUUUUGGAGCUUGCGAGUUUUCUCGAGCAUCUUCCUCCUUCGUGAGAGCCACUUGCCGUUGGAUAUCGUCGCCCAGUAUCGUUUUACGACUGAUUAUGCGAGAAUAUACGGGGAUACUCCACACGACGCUUGGCCGAGGCCUGCAAUAAUCGUAUACGCAUGUUUGUCGAAAGGUACCCUGCAGAAAGUAGCCUAAGCUAUACAAAACUAUACACAAAACGCGCACCGUAAAAAGGGAAAGGAUCGAGACGCUUGUUGCCCGGCAUGUCGCGGUGCAAUAAAGUCAAGGUUUUCCGCUGACGUAACGCGCACGCGGUGCGAUGUACUUUUGCGUGCAGGUUGAUUGUACCCCGAGAAUUCCUGAGUCCUUCCCCACCAUUCGUAGCGGCGCUACGGAUAAUUUUAUACGCUCGACUACAGCGCUACCUUUGACCUAAUGUCGCCCGCCGCGCUCUUCUUGCCGGGCCGCCGCGAAUCGAUACGCGAGAGAGCAGGAAUAACUGCGCACCAUUUUUAAAUAACGCUAAAGUUAGCGCCGUCUGACCCGCUCUCCUUGCCCCAUCCUCGCGUAUCGCGCCGUGUCGGGAAUUCAUUUUCUCAGAAAUGCCGGUCGUAUUAUUCGUGGAUCGACGAGCCGCGACGCAAAGAGAGUCUCUCGCGCGCGUAGCUUUUAUUUUCUAGCGGACACGCGGAACUCCUCUUGUAAUAAGUUACGAGAGGCGAGCGCGCGACGAGGUGAAUCUACGGAACUGCGACUCAAGAUAGACUUUCGAGAGGUGGGACAGAGAGAGAGAGAGAGAGGGGAUAAGGAGAAAAGACUGAAAUAAUACAAAAGGAGAGAAAAAAACUGCACGAUGUCAGCAGAGACUUGAGAACCGGUUUUCACGCCGCGGCGCGAUCGGUUAACGCCGCUGCUCGUGACGAUUGUCUCGAAUUCCUAUACAACGACAAAAUGUCGUAAUUCUCCGGUGCUCGGUAACGCGUUACGUUGACACCCGAGAUGCGCGAGAGGAUCAAUAAGUUUGCUCGCGGAACGUCCAUCAUCUAUACCGAAAGAAAACGAAUUGUUGAUCAAACUAAAAUUAUACUUCUUUUUGGUCUCAACCAUAUUUUUCGUAGCAAAGGGGUAGUAGUGACAUGCAUAUAAAAUUAUUAUCACUAACUUUACUAGAAUUUAAUUAAAAAAUAAUAAUUUUCUUAAUGAUAAUUUAUAAUGAUUAUUUUUCUAUGUGAUCACAGUUGUGUUGCAAAUAUCAAGCAUUUUUUCUCAGAGUGUAAAGUAUGUAUACUCACAGCAUAUGCCUAGAAGUUGAUUCAUCGGCACGAACGGCAUUGUCGCAGCCGAUCACUCGUAUGUACACAUACCAUUUUGCGACGAAUAAUGCACCUGCUGUGAUGUACACAGCAGGCGUAACACCGCAAUAGCACAAUAGUAACUACACACGCAGGAAAAAUAACUCCGUUAAUGCAAUUAAAUUUUCUAUUACUUGGGGACGAAAAACUCGGUCACUGGAACAGGAUGAUUCCCGUAAGGGGUCCCUAUUCAGCUAAUUGCUCUCAGUUAUCUCAACCAAGUUUUCAUGCAGCUGAAUGUUCAGACGAAUGUUUUUGAUCAUGGUAACAGAGAUAUUAUUUUUCGUCUGGUCCUCACUCAGAUAUACGAACUGAAAUUUCUUUUCCGUGUGGAAUUUUUCAGCCGACAUGACUUUGUGCAUCACGACUGUGGAGUAUUCAACAAAAUACUGUAAAGAUAUAUUGAAUAUUUACUCUUUUAUAUUUCUUUUAUGAUUUUAUGUUGCUAAUGCAGUGCUGCAUUGUUAUUUGCUGUUAUAAUAAUUAGAAUAAUUGAGAUAUCUCGUCGCUGCGUUUCUUUGAACAAUCAACAGUCACGAUACAUAAUCACAUCUCUGUAGUAGUCUGUAUACAAGUACAUAUAACUGAUAUAUAUUUUUUUCUGUUUUUAUCCUAAUUCUUAAGUUUC